rnacentral:rRNA from 1 species
CAGCAGCCGCGGUAAUACCGGCGGCCCGAGUGGCGGUCACUAUUAUUGGGCUUAAAGCGUCCGUAGCCGGGUUGGGAAGUCCUCCGGGAAAUCUGGCCGCUUAACGGUCAGAAUGCCGGAGGAUACUCCCAGCCUAGGGAGCGGGAGAGGCCGAGGGGAUUCCCGGAGUAGGGGUGGAAUCCUAUAAUCCCGGGAGGACCACCUGUGGCGAAGGCGCUCGGCUGGAACGCGUCCGACGGUGAGGGACGAAGGCCAGGGGAGCAAACCGGAUUAGAUACCCGGGUAGUCCUGGCUGUAAACGAUGCGGACUUUGUGUCGGACAAGCUAUGAGCUUGUCCGGUGCCGGAGGGAAACCGUUAAGUCCGCCGCCUGGGGAGUACGGCCGCAAGGCUGAAACUUAAAGGAAUUGGCGGG